rnacentral:rRNA from 1 species
UCGAGAAUCUUCGGCAAUGGGCGCAAGCCUGACCGAGCGACGCCGCGUGUGGGAUGAAGGCCUUCGGGUUGUAAACCACUGUCGGAGGGGAGGAAAUUCUAUGGGGUUCACCCCAUAGAUUGACCUAGCCUCAAAGGAAGGACGGGCUAAGUUCGUGCCAGCAGCCGCGGUAAGACGAACCGUCCGAACGUUAUUCGGAAUUACUGGGCUUAAAGGGUGCGUAGGCGGCCCUGAAAGUUGGGUGUGAAAUCCCUCGGCUCAACCGAGGAAUUGCGCCCAAAACUACAGGGCUUGAGGGAGACAGAGGUGAGCGGAACUUGCGGUGGAGCGGUGAAAUGCGUUGAUAUCGCAAGGAACACCAGGGGCGAAAGCGGCUCACUGGGUCUUUUCUGACGCUGAGGCACGAAAGCUAGGGGAGCGAACGG